UACUUGAGGCAUAUGUAAAUCAUUUGAUGUGUGGUUCUCUGUGCAGAUCCCAAAUAUAGGCAAGAUUUAUUCAAAGAAUGAAGGAGAUUCCAAAAACUGGGACAGUCCUACCGCCACUUACGUUGGCAAUGCAAGUUUCCAGAAGAUGGUUCAUCGCCAAAGUCUCUUAAGAUAUAUUAGAAGAGCAAUGAGAAGAUGAAGCAAUAUGUUCACUUGUUGAACUCUAAUCUCACGGCUACUGAGAGAGGAUCAUUUGCUGCAUACUAGAGAACUACCAGAAGGAAGAUGGGGGAAGAGAUACCAGAAGUCCUCAUGCCAUUCAUGGGUGGGAAGACUUUCCUGCCUUUCAUGAACCAACCAUCUUGAGAUAUAUUUGGUAAGCCUUCUAAUAAGCUCACAAGUUCCUUCUACCAAAAUAAGU